UUAUACGGCAAACAGCCUUGGAAGAUACAGAUCACAUCCCCCUGGAGAAGAAGGCAGAUAUACUUACUGUCCAGUGUUAUAAAAAUUUUUCUGAAAGGAAAGGGCAGGCAUGCUGGCUGCCCAUUACAGAAGAUUCGGUUACCCUAAUCUUGGAGUUCCUCAGCUGUGCUGUGCACCCACCGCAGGCCAGGAUCCAGUGGAGCCCUUCUGUGUCAGUUCCUGGGAUUGUGGAGUAAAAGGAAUCAAUGCAAACAUGAGACUCAUGCUUUGGGUUGUACUGUGAGUAGGAGAGUCCUUUGUACUUUGAUCCAGGAUUUUGCCCUCUGCCAGCAUCUGUGAAACUGGCAGUGAAUCAAGGGCAUCUGCUGGCAUCGCUGUGGAUUCUGUUGUUUGCAAACAGACAGCCAAGAGCCAAGUUCACAACCAAGCCAUGCAUUUGGAAGU